rnacentral:rRNA from 1 species
AGUUGCCAGCACGUAACGGUGGGGAACGUCUGGAGGAAACUGCCGGUGACAAACCGGAGGAAGGUGGGGAUGAGGUCAAAUCAUCAUGCCCUUUAUGUCCUGGGCUACACACGUGCUACAAUGGCCGAUACAGAGGGGCUGCGAAACCGUGAGGUGGAGCGAAUCCCCAAAGUCGGUCUCAGUUCGGAUUGCAGGCUGCAACUCGCCUGCAUGAAGUCGGAAUCGCUAGUAAUCGCGAGUCAGCAUAUCGCGGUGAAUACGUUCCCGGGUCUU